GGUGGUAAUACCGUAUACGCCCUUAGGGGGAAAGAUUUAUCGGUGAAAGAUCGGCCCGCGUUGGAUUAGCUAGUUGGUGAGGUAAUGGCUCACAAAGGCGACGAUCCAUAGCUGGUCUGAGAGGAUGAUCAGCCACACUGGGACUGAGACACGGCCCAGACUCCUACGGGAGGCAGCAGUGGGGAAUCUUGCACAAUGGGCGAAAGCCUGAUGCAGCCAUGCCGCGUGAAUGAUGAAGGCCUUAGGGUUGUAAAAUUCUUUCGUCAGGGAUGAUAAUGACCGUACCUGAAGAAGAAGCCCCGGCUAACUUCGUGCCAGCAGCCGCGGUAAUACGAAGGGGGCUAGCGUUGUUCGGAAUUACUGGGCGUAAAGCGCACGUAGGCGGACUUUUAAGUCAGGUGUGAAAUCCCGGGGCUCAACCUCGGAACUGCAUUUGAAACUGGAAGUCUGGAGAUCAGGAGAGGUUAGCGGAAUACCGAGUGUAGAGGUGAAAUUCGUAGAUAUUCGGUGGAACACCAGUGGCGAAGGCGGCUAACUGGACUGAUACUGACGCUGAGGUGCGAAAGUGUGGGGAGCAAACAGGAUUAGAUACCCUGGUAGUCCACACCGUAAACGAUGAGAGCUAGUUGUUGGCAGGCAUGCCUGUCGGUGACGCAGUUAACACAUUAAGCUCUCCGCCUGGGGAGUACGGCCGCAAGGUUAAAACUCAAAGAAAUUGACGGGGGCCCGCACAAGCGGUGGAGCAUGUGG
rnacentral:rRNA from 1 species